rnacentral:rRNA from 1 species
AGAGAGUAAACAGUACGUGAAACCGCUCAGAGGUAAACGGGUGGAGUUGAACUGCAAGCUCUGGGGAUUCAGCUGGUGGGCGUGGUGUGAUCUUGGUCAUGUGGGUUGUGAGCUCGGGUCUGCUUAGCCGCAGGUCCCCACUUUCGGUGGGGGUGCGCGUAUCACUUAUCAAGUGUUGCGCGCCCGGGCUCUCUCGGACCUGCUUGCCAGUGCACUUUCUCAGAGUGUUCACCACGACCGGCGUUGCCGUCUGACUGUUGCGGUUAAACCGGCCUGGUAGGGUCCUCGUGACUUUGCUAGGUCGGGAUGGCAGGUAGCCCUUUGUGUACUUCGGUGCGCUUCGGGUGUAAUAGCUGACUGCAUCUGUUCUGUGCGGUACGUCGGAGACGGCGGCCUGUGCGUGCAGGUGUGCCUGUUGCAUCGGCAGCUCCGGGUCUGGUUGCCUUGUUGCCUGUGAAUGCAGGCCAGGUGAUGUCUCGGUGUUGUUCGGUGCUCGGUUGCACUUGUGGUACCUUGUAAAGGCCUAUAGUCUGUGGUGUAGUGGUAGACUAUCCACCCGAC